rnacentral:rRNA from 1 species
CCCUUAGAUGUUCUGGGCCGCACGCGCGCUACACUGAUGCAUUCAACAAGCCUAGCCUUGACCGAGAGGUCCGGGUAAUCUUUGAAACUGCAUCGUGAUGGGGCUAGAUUAUUGCAAUUAUUAAUCUUCAACGAGGAAUGCCUAGUAAGCGUGAUUCAUCAAAUCGCGUUGAUUACGUCCCUGCCCUUUGUACACACCGCCCGUCGCUCCUACCGAUUGAAUGUGUUGGUGAGGAGCUCGGAUUGGCAGCAGUUGGUGGUUCGCCACCGGCUAUUGCUGAGAAGUCCUCCAAACCGCCCCAUUUAGAGGAAGGAGAAGUCGUNACA